GACAGAGGGUGCAAACGUUGUUCGGAAUUACUGGGUGUAAAGCGAGUGUAGGCGGUGUGGUAAGUCGGAUGUGAAAGCCCCGGGCUCAACCCGGGAAGUGCACUCGAUACUGCCACGCUAGAGUAUCGGAGAGGUUGGUGGAAUUCUCGGUGUAGAGGUGAAAUUCGUAGAUAUCGAGAGGAACACCGGUGGCGAAGGCGGCCAACUGGACGAAUACUGACGCUGAGACUCGAAAGCGUGGGGAGCAAACAGG
rnacentral:rRNA from 1 species